rnacentral:rRNA from 1 species
AGAGUUUGAUCCUGGCUCAGGAUGAACGCUGGCGGCGUGCUUAACACAUGCAAGUCGAACGAAGCACUCUAUUUGAUUUUCUUCGGAAAUGAGGAUUUUGUGACUGAGUGGCGGACGGGUGAGUAACGCGUGGGUAACCUGCCUCAUACAGGGGGAUAACAGUUGGAAACGACUGCUAAUACCGCAUAAGCGCACAGGAUUGCAUGAUCCGGUGUGAAAAACUCCGGUGGUAUGAGAUGGACCCGCGUCUGAUUAGCCAGUUGGCAGGGUAACGGCCUACCAAAGCGACGAUCAGUAGCCGACCUGAGAGGGUGACCGGCCACAUUGGGACUGAGACACGGCCCAAACUCCUACGGGAGGCAGCAGUGGGGAAUAUUGCACAAUGGGGGAAACCCUGAUGCAGCGACGCCGCGUGAGCGAAGAAGUAUUUCGGUAUGUAAAGCUCUAUCAGCAGGGAAGAAGAAUGACGGUGCCUUGACUAAGAAGCACCGGCUAAAUACGUGCCAGCAGCGCGCGGUAAUACGUAUGGUUGCAAGCGUUAUCCGGGAUUUACUGGGUGUAAAGGGUGCGUAGGUGGUAUGGCAAGUCAGAAGUGAAAGGCUGGGGGCUCAACCCCGGGACUGCUUUUGAAACUGUCAAACUAGAGUACAGGAGAGGAAAGCGGAAUUCCUAGUGUAGCGGUGAAAUGCGUAGAUAUUAGGAGGAACACCAGUGGCGAAGGCGGCUUUCUGGACUGAAACUGACACUGAGGCACGAAAGCGUGGGGAGCAAACAGGAUUAGAUACCCUGGUAGUCCACGCCGUAAACGA